UACGAAGGGGGGCUAGCGUUGCUCGGAAUCACUGGGCGUAAAGCGCACGUAGGCGGUUUGCCAAGUUGGGGGUGUAAGCUCUAGGCCUACCUAGAAAUUGCCUCCAAAACUAGCAUACUUGAGUAUUAGAGGGGAAGCUGGAAUUCACGGUGUAGCGGUGAAAUGCGUAGAUAUCGUGGAGAACACCCGUGGCGAAGGCGGGCUUCUGGCUAAUUACUGGACGCUGAGGUGCGAAAGCU
rnacentral:rRNA from 1 species